rnacentral:misc_RNA from 1 species
AACCUUAUGGACCUGCGGGCGUAUACCUGCGGAGGGAUCAUUGCUGGAACGCGCUUCGGCGCACCCAGAAACCCUUUGUGAACUUAUACCUUUACUGUUGCCUCGGCGCAGGCCGGCCUCUCUCGAGGUCCCUCUGGCACUGUGCCAGAGGAGCAGCCCGCCGGCGGCCAACUAAACUCUUGUUUCUUAGUGAAUCUCUGAGUAAAAAAAAACAUAAUGAAUCAAAACUUUUAACAAUGG